UAAUACAGAGGGUGCAAGCGUUGUUCGGAAUUAUUGGGCGUAAAGCGCGUGUAGGCGGCUUUGCAAGUCGGGUGUGAAAGCCCUCGGCUCAACCGAGGAAGUGCGCCCGAAACUGCAGAGCUUGAGUACCGGAGAGGAUGGCGGAAUUCCCCAAGUAGAGGUGAAAUUCGUAGAUAUGGGGAGGAACACCGGUGGCGAAGGCGGCCAUCUGGACGGAUACUGACGCUGAGACGCGAAAGCGUGGGUAGCAAACAGGAUUAGAUACCCUGGUAGUCCACGCUGUAAACGAUGAGAACUAGGUGUCGUGGGUGUUGACCCCCGCGGUGCCGUAGCUAACGCAUUAAGUUCUCCGCCUGGGAAGUACGGUCGCAAGACUA
rnacentral:rRNA from 1 species